rnacentral:rRNA from 1 species
AACGAACGCUGGCGGCAUGCCUAACACAUGCAAGUCGAACGAAACCUUCGGGUCUAGUGGCGCACGGGUGCGUAACGCGUGGGAACCUGCCCUUAGGUUCGGAAUAACUCCCCGAAAGGGGUGCUAAUACCGGAUAAUGUCUUCGGACCAAAGAUUUAUCGCCUUUGGAUGGGCCCGCGUUGGAUUAGCUAGUUGGUAGGGUAAAAGCCUACCAAGGCGACGAUCCAUAGCUGGUCUGAGAGGAUGAUCAGCCACACUGGGACUGAGACACGGCCCAGACUCCUACGGGAGGCAGCAGUGGGGAAUAUUGGAAAAUGGGCGAAAGCCUGAUCCAGCAAUGCCGGGUGAGUGAUGAAGGCCUUAGGGUUGUAAAGCUCUUUUACCCGGGAUGAUAAUGACAGUACCGGGAGAAUAAGCUCCGGCUAACUCCGUG